rnacentral:rRNA from 1 species
GAUGAACGCUGCCAGAAUGCUUAACACAUGCAAGUCGAUGGGGAAGUGGUGCUUGCACCAUGGUAACCAUGGCGGACGGGUGAGUAACGCGUAAGGAACUUGCCUGCGGGACUGGGAUAACAGCAGGAAACUGCUGAUAAUACCGGAUAAGGUCAUUAAGCUGCAUAGCUUAGUGAUGAAAGGAGACGCCUGCGGAGAGCCUUGCGUCCUAUUAGCUAGUUGGAGGGGUAACGGCCCACCAAGGCGAAGAUAGGUAGCCGGCCUGAGAGGGUGGACGGCCACAAGGGGACUGAGAUACGGCCCUUACUCCUACGGGAGGCAGCAGUGGGGAAUAUUGGACAAUGGGGGCAACCCUGAUCCAGCAAUUCUGUGUGCACGAAGACGGUUUUCGGAUUGUAAAGUGCUUUCAGCAGGGAAGAAGGAAGUGACGGUACCUGCAGAAGAAGCGACGGCUAAAUACGUG